rnacentral:lncRNA from 1 species
AUGAGGCUAUUUCAUGAUGCAAACACUCCCACUCCAGGAAAGAGCGACUCUGGAGAGCAGGCCUGUCGCCGGAGGUCACUGCGUCCCCAGGCACCCCGCACCUGCAGGGCUAGGCAGCCUGGGCGCAGCAGGCAGGCUGCGGUCAGGCUCCUCCACCAGCUCACAGUCCAGCGGCGGGUGGUGCGGACGCGACUGCAGACCUGGCCCUCCAACCCCGGGGGGACACUGGGCGUUUGGCCCCAAGAAGGCGGGACUCGGAAAUACCGAGACCUCACAGUCUCGGCAAAACAGAGCUGGCCUGGAUCUGGCACGGCCGGCUGGAGUGAGCGGAGGCAACCAGACAGGGUCCAUCCACUAGGGCUGACCUGCCCCUGGAGCCCCGCGGGCCCCCAGAUCACGAGAGCCCAGACACGCUCCUGCCCGCAGGCCUGGAGAGCAAGUCAGCAGCGUAAGCUGCUUGCUCCCUGCCUCUCAGGAGCAAGAGAUGCACAACCAGACACGGGGCCCAGAAGGCGGGGAUCUCAGCUGAGAUCUACCCCCUGAUAGGGUCGCCCCUGGCCAGGGCUUGAGGAUCCCUUGACUCGGUGAAGGAUGAACCAAGAGAAGAGCUCAGAAAGUUUGAGAGUCUUCACCACAGGCAAGGCGGGGGCAUGGGCUCUGAUGCCUCCUGGAGCUCCCCAGGUGGCUCAGGGGUCAAAAACCAGCCUGCCCAUGCAGGAGACACGGUUCCAUCCCUGGGUGGGGAGCACCGGCCGCUCCAGGCUCCAACACUGCGCCUCUCAGGUGGCCCCAGCACCACGCCCUCUGCCUCUCUGACUCCCGUCUGUCCAGCAGAGAGCUGCCCACCUCCUGGAUUUUCCUCCCUGCUGAGUUCAACAAUGAGGGGGUUUUUUCCCCAUCAUAUUUCUAAUGUUCUUCACAAGCUUGAUUUUAAGAAAGGAAAAUUCCCCACCAUAUUUUUGGUCUGAUUAUUGGAGGAUGGUGGACAACAGAUUAACAAGAGUCACUCAAGGAGACACCAGCUCUUGUGUGUAACAGCUCCUCCAAUUACCAGGCGCUGCUGAACCACUAUUGAUCCCACUCACACUGGGUGAUAACUGAGCAUUUUCCACUUCUUUUAGAGUGCUGUUAGCUAGAGCCUCCCAUCAAUGGGAAAGCAGUAGAUUUCCUUUAAACACAGCUCAACACAAUAAAUAGCACAUUCUGGGAGUUCAGAGUUCUUUAAUCUCAGUGAAACAAAUAACCACCCAGCAGACACACACAGACUUGCGAGGCGCUAAAUGGUUUAUUACAAAACUGGCUCCCGGGGAGGUCAUUUAAUAUGUCACCUUAGCGACCCCCCACAGAUGUGCUGAAGAAAAGGCACAGCUCUCUCCAUUUGCUUUCAAGAGUUUAAAAUUAAGGAUCGAGAGACGGGGCGGGAGGUGGGAACCGGAGUGACAGUUGUUAACCAUCGGGGUGGGCUUCUCAUAACCGUUGGCAGCAUCCCUCCGGCUUUGGGGCUGCACGUCUUGCUUUUUGUGGGACAGCAGGAUUUGCAGAUGAAUGCGGGCGGAUGGGUAGAAUGGGGAUCAAACGAGCAUCUCUGUCAGGCUGGGUUGAUUGGUGUGGUCCCCAGAGAAGCUCAUCGGUGACUGCUCCUCUCCUGGGAAUGUGGUUUGGCAAGUGACCACUGGGUGCCUUUGUCCUGAUGGACCAAGCCUUUGUUGUGGGUCCCGGGCCAACCCGAGAACAUAAAACCGAGAAAUUGACGAAUAAGGAAAUCAGCACGAGACUGCGAAAAUAAUCUCUCUGUGCCAUCAGUAGUUAGCCAAAGGGCUGACCACUGAGGCGCGGGGUCAGGUCAAACGACCUGAGACGUCAAGGAAAAGUGGUUUUCGUUAUUUAUUUCGCCAGAGUUUCUCCCUUUGUGGAUGGGUUCACAUUCUAUUGUAAGAAAAUAAAAGCCUGGAAUUUCUCCAAACAAAGGCAUCGCCGUCAUUCCAAGGGCCAGCUCCUCGGCCCCUGGAGCCACACCCCCUUGGCUCACCCGACCACUGUAUGUCAGGUAAUGCUUUCAGCAUCCACAGAGAGAUGCUGCGGUCAGGAGACGGGGCACCCCAACAACUCCUCGUGAAUAAGGGUGUUGUGGUUCUCGGGGCUCUGAAGAGAAGAGAGGGACAGACAUUGAGGAAGGACAGGGUGAGAGCAGAGGUUAAAAUGAAUUUAAAGACAAGUCAUCACUAAGUUGUCCUAGCAUCUGGGUCUCUCUUUGUUAAUCUGAUGAAUACAUAUCUGUCUGUUGGGUCACACCUAAUCCUGUCUUUCAGAGACCUGAGGUUGAGAUGUGGGGCUGAAAAAGAAGGGUACAGCAGCGGGCUAGGGUCUGGUGGCAGGCACCUGUCAUCAGGUGGCCCAGGAAGAUGGAGACAUUUGUGUUGAGCCUGGAAAGGGAGGUGGCAGAGUUGGCCCCACGAGAGGACGGCCUCUGAGAAAGCCUAGAGGGAUGGGUGUGGUCUCUGAGGACCCACAGUGGGGACUCAAACAGGUCCUCGUGGCAGCAGCAUCCACACCAGCCAGAACCGGAGACAGCCCAGCAUCUUCCAGCAGGUGACGGAUAACCAGUGAGGUCCACCCGUACCAUGAGCACUGCUCAGCCUUGAGACGGGAGGGAGGGGAUUCCCUGGUGGCCGCGUGGUUAGGACUCGGCACCGUCACUGCAGAGGGUCUGCGUUCACUCCCUGGUCAGCCUUCCCAGGUGGCACUAGUAGGCAAGAACCAGCCUGCCAGCGCAGGAGACGUAGGAGAUGCAGGUUCCGUCCCUGGGUCGGGAAGAUCCCCUGGAGAAGGAAAUGGCAACCGACUCUAGCCUGCUUGCCUAGAGAAUCCCCAUGGACGGAGGAGCCUGGUGGGCUUCAGUCCAUGGAGUCUCAAAGAAUCAGACACGACUGAAGUGACUCAGCAAGCAGGGAACUGAGAUCCUGAAAGCCGUCUGGCGCGACCACAAAAAAGAGAAGGAAGGGAACUGUGCCUCCAUCCCACAACGACACGGACGAACCGUGAGGGCAGUGUGGAGUGAGGUGACCCAGUUGCAACAGGAGGGAUGCACCCAAUUCCACUCCUGUGAGGGGCCCGGAGUCGUCCCGCCAGGAGACGGAGGGGGACGGUGGGCAGAGGGCCUGGGUGGGGCACCUGAUCCCACUCCUGUGAGGGACCCGGAGUUGCCCGGCCCAGAGAUACAGAGGGGACGGUGGGCAGAGGGCGGAGUCGUCCCGCCACGAGACAGAGGGGGACGGUGGGCAGAGGGCCUGGGUGGGGAUGGGCAGUCGGUGUUUCACGUGAGCGGGUUUCCAUUUGGGGGGUGGAGACACUCUGGCGACGAUGGCACCGCUCUGAGGAUGCACUAAAUGCAACCGAAAUGUACGCUGAGAAACGGUUAAGAAACUUUUCCUUAAACUUUUAUCUUCUGAGUAUUUAGUCAAAGCCACGGUUUUUCUAGCAGUCAUGUAUGGAUGUGAGAGUUGGACCAAAAAGAAGGCUGAGCACCAAAGGAUUAUGCUAUCUUGAGAGUCCUUUGGACAUCAAGGAGAUGAAAGCAGUUGAUCCUUUAGGAAAUCAACCCUGAAUAUUCAUUGGAAGGACUGAUGCUGAAGCUGAAGCUCCAAAACUUUGACCACCUGAGGGGAAGAGCCAGCUCAUUGGAAAAGACCCUGAUGCUGGGAAAGAUAGAAGGCAGGAGGAGAAGGGGACGACAGAGGACGAGAUGGUUGGAUGGCAUCACGACUCAAUAGAUACGAACUUCAGCAAACUCUGGGAGAUGGUGAAGGACAGUGAGGCCUGGCAUGCUGCAGUCAAUAGGGUUGCAAAGAGUCAAACACGACUUAGCAACUAAAGAACAACCAACCAUAAGGAAAUUAAGUUCUUGGUGCUGGUAAGCCCACACUGAAGACAAUUCCAGAACAUAAAGCCCAGAAAUGCAGCAGGACCACGGCGCAGGCCCCAGGCUCAGAGUCUCACGGAGGGAGACACAGCCGGGCGAGUUCCCCCACGGGUCUGACGGUGCAUCUGAGGCUCCCUGGGCAAACCCAGUCUUCAGCCAGCUUGCAGUUCAGGAGAGGAUGGGAGAGCAACUCCAGGCCACACAUCGCCAGGGACCAGGCUCCCUCAGAGAAACACACGUUUGCGAUGGGCCCUCUGCACGUUACCUGUGGCCUUGAGCAGUUUGGUGCAGAUACACAUGCUAUUAAACAGCAAAUCAGUGAAUGGCGAGCACUUUAAAAUUUCAGCGUUUUCUGGAAAACACUAUCCACCUCCUGCACUUCCAGAAAUUUUCAACUCCUGGGGACCGACUGAAGUGCAAACAGAAAAGAGCCUCUCACCCUAAGUGAGUCUGGGCAAGCGGAUCGUGGCGCGGAGCAGGCGAGUACGAGGUGCCUGCCGGAGGGGAGACGCGGAGGCUGGGGAGCGGCGGAAACAGGCGGCGCGUUGCCAAGCGCCUCACCCGGUACCGAGGGGGAGGAGGCAGGCAGAAAGCCCCACGUCUGCAAAAGCCAGGGGCCUCCCGAAGCGGAGGGGCGCACAGGUACUUCGCGGGCGGCGGGGCGGCCGGGGGAGCCCCGAGCCGGGAAGCCGGGACUUCCGGGGGCGCGGCGC